rnacentral:rRNA from 1 species
GAUGAACGCUGGCGGCGUGCCUAAUACAUGCAAGUCGAGCGAACAGACGAGGAGCUUGCUCCUCUGACGUUAGCGGCGGACGGGUGAGUAACACGUGGAUAACCUACCUAUAAGACUGGGAUAACUUCGGGAAACCGGAGCUAAUACCGGAUAAUAUAUUGAACCGCAUGGUUCAAUAGUGAAAGACGGUUUUGCUGUCACUUAUAGAUGGAUCCGCGCCGCAUUAGCUAGUUGGUAAGGUAACGGCUUACCAAGGCAACGAUGCGUAGCCGACCUGAGAGGGUGAUCGGCCACACUGGAACUGAGACACGGUCCAGACCCCUACGGGAGGCAGCAGUAGGGAAUCUUCCGAAAGGGGCGAAAGCCUGACGGAGCAACGCCGCGUGAGUGAUGAAGGGCUUCGGAUCGUAAAACUCUGUUAUUAGGGAAGAACAAAUGUGUAAGUAACGAUGCACGUCUGGACGGUACCUAAUCAGAAAGCCACGGCUAACUACGU